AGAUUGAACGCUGGCGGCAGGCCUAACGCAUGCAAGUCGAGCGGCAGCACGGGUACUUGUACCUGGUGGCGAGCGGCGGACGGGUGAGUAAUGCCUAGGAAUCUGCCUGGUAGUGGGGGGAUAACGCUCGGAAACGGACGCUAAUACCGCAUACGUCCUACGGGAGAAAGCAGGGGACCUUCGGGCCUUGCGCUAUCAGAUGAGCCUAGGUCGGAUUAGCUAGUUGGUGAGGUAAUGGCUCACCAAGGCGACGAUCCGUAACUGGUCUGAGAGGAUGAUCAGUCACACUGGAACUGAGACACGGUCCAGACUCCUACGGGAGGCAGCAGUGGGGAAUAUUGGACAAUGGGCGAAAGCCUGAUCCAGCCAUGCCGCGUGUGUGAAGAAGGUCUUCGGAUUGUAAAGCAUUUAAGUGGAGAGGCAUUAACCUAAUACGUUGGUGUCUUGACGUUACCGACAGAAUAAGCACCGACUAACUC
rnacentral:rRNA from 1 species